AGAUUUAUCUGGGUCACAGAUCAAUGUUUUUAGGAGCUGUUCUUAAGUGGCUGUCAUGUCGUCUCCUCCACAGUGUGUCCAGCAGGAUGGAAGCCCGGCAGCGACACAAUCAUUCCAGACCCGUCCGGCAAACUGAAGUAUUUUGACAAACUGAACUGAUGAAUGUUAUUUGUGAAAAACCACCAUCUGCUAAUGGGCCAAAUAAAUGUUUUUAUAAAAAAA